AUUCCUUCCAUUCCUCUCUCUCUCUCUCUCUCUCUCUCUAAAUUGUAUGGGGAGAGAGAAAAGCUUUCUAAGCAGAUAGACAGAAACUUCUACAAGCAGGUCAUGACCUUCAAGCCAUUAACUAUAUGGAUCCAUCAACCACCACCGCCACCACCAGCAGAGUGUCCAAACCUUCAAAAAUUGGAAGCCAUGGGCUAGAAGAAAUGGUUGUUGAUCCAUCAAACAUCACCGGCGGCUUUCAAUUUGGCAUUGGAAGCUCCACUGUAGUGGUGGCUAGUUCUUGUUAAUGGGGUGCUAUCCUACCUGAGCUUUUCUAUCUCCUCCUCAACCACCUCUUCUUCAUUUUCUUUCUUUCUUUCUUUUUAUUUUUUGACUUGUUGCCUUUUAUUUUUUUUUUAUUUCUUGUCUUCUUGACCUUGUAAGACCUUUUCUUGACCUUGUAAGACCCAAUUUUAUGUUUUCUGUUCUCGUUUUUUAUUUUGUUAAAAAUCUUACAUCAGAAAUUACUGAUUAGGGUUUGGUUAUUUUGUGUCCUCGUUUUCGCCCAACUCAUGUUGUCCUUCCUUGUCUAUCCCUCCUGAGCUAUUCGGAUUAGAUUUAAAGUACAUCCCUUCGCGUAAUUUGAUGUAGGUUUUCAAAGUUUGAUGCCACUUAUAUAAAUUAUGUCACGCAUAAAGAAAAAAUCUAUCGAAGGUCGAGCUCCUUAAUUAUUAUUAGUGAACAUCUAGAUUACAAUGUUUUACUAAGUUGUUUAUACAAUUAAGGUGGGCAUUUAGGAUACCUUAAUUCUCAAGUUCAUACAAGCAUUGGAGAUCUCAAUUCAAUUUGGUCCAACCUUUUAUUUAAUUCAUGUAAUAAACUUUAUGAUCAAAUAUUAAUGUUCUUUGAA